GGGGGACUGACUGUACUAUGUUGCUUUCCACCACAAUGAAGAAUGCUAUGGUGGAUGUUUGUGUUAAAUCUUAUUAUGUAUUGUGUGUUCUUUUUAAGUAUAUCGCUGCUAGCAAAUUCAUUUCA